rnacentral:rRNA from 1 species
UACAGAGGUCUCAAGCGUUGUUCGGAUUCAUUGGGCGUAAAGGGUGCGUAGGCGGCGCGGUAAGUCGGGUGUGAAAUCUUGGAGCUUAACUCCGGAACUGCAUUCGAUACUGCCGUGCUUGAGGACUGGAGAGGAGACUGGAAUUUACGGUGUAGCGGUGAAAUGCGUAGAUAUCGUAAGGAAGACCAGUGGCGAAGGCGGGUCUCUGGACAGUUCCUGACGCUGAGGCACGAAGGCCAGGGAAGCAAACGGG